GGUCUGUAGUUCAGUGGCAGAGCACUUGCCUAGCACACAUGAGGCACUGGGUUCAAUCCUCAGCACCA
rnacentral:tRNA from 1 species